GAAAUGCGAUAAGUAAUGUGAAUUGCAGAAUUCCGUGAAUCAUCAAAUCUUUGAACGCACAUUGCGCUUUCUGGUAUUCCGGAGAGCAUAUCUGUUUGAGAAUCAGUUUAAAUCUCAAGAAAUUUAUUUCUUGGACUUGAAAGUUUUAAAGGUGUUAAAUCUUUAAACUUUUUAAAUAAAGCUUGGUGAUGGUUCUUUUUAUUUAAAAGACUAUUUUAAAAUUUUAAACCGAAAGCGUGAUUUACUAGGGUUUUUUAAACUCUUUUGAUUAUCUAGCUGAUAAAGUUUGAAGAUGAAAAUAUUUUUUAAAUGACUGAAUAAUUUUAAACAUCAACAAAUUAAAUUACCAUACAAAGAUUUUUAUAAUCUUUAAGACUUGAUCUCAAAUCAGAUAAGACUA
rnacentral:misc_RNA from 1 species